UUUCCGUAGGUGAACCUGCGGAAGGAUCAUUACUGUGUUUGGUGCAUUAGCAUUGGCCCCUUCAAGGGCCUUGCUUUUGCUACCUUUCCCACCCUUGUCUAUUAUUUUCAAACGCUUUAAUGCAAGUCUGAAAGAAAGAAAAAAUAACCUAAAACUUUCAACAACGGAUCUCUUGGUUCCG
rnacentral:misc_RNA from 1 species